CAAUCAAACCGGGAGAUAGCUGGUUCUCCCCGAAAGCUAUUUAGGUAGCGCCUCGUGAAUUCAUCUCCGGGGGUAGAGCACUGUUUCGGCUAGGGGGCCAUCCCGGCUUACCAACCCGAUGCAAACUGCGAAUACCGGAGAAUGUUAUCACGGGAGACACACGGCGGGUGCUAACGUCCGUCGUGAAGAGGGAAACAACCCAGACCGCCAGCUAAGGUCCCAAAGUCAUGGUUAAGUGGGAAACGAUGUGGGAAGGCCCAGACAGCCAGGAUGUUGGCUUAGAAGCAGCCAUCAUUUAAAGAAAGCGUAAUAGCUCACUGGUCGAGUCGGCCUGCGCGGAAGAUGUAACGGGGCUAAACCAUGCACCGAAGCUGCGGCAGCGAACGUAUCACCCAAGACAACUUUACGGAGUUGACGAUUGACGGAGCGAAGCGACGUCAAAGCGUUCAUUAAAGUCGAGUUGGCUUAGGGAUACGUUCGUUGGGUAGGGGAGCGUUCUGUAAGCCUGUGAAGGUGUGUCGUGAGGCAUGCUGGAGGUAUCAGAAGUGCGAAUGCUGACAUAAGUAACGAUAAAGCGGGUGAAAAGCCCGCUCGCCGGAAGACCAAGGGUUCCUGUCCAACGUUAAUCGGGGCAGGGUGAGUCGACCCCUAAGGCGAGGCCGAAAGGCGUAGUCGAUGGGAAACGGGUUAAUAUUCCCGUACUUGGUGUUACUGCGAAGGGGGGACGGAGAAGGCUAUGUUGGCCGGGCGACGGUUGUCCCGGUUUAAGCGUGUAGGUGUGUGUUCCAGGUAAAUCCGGUUCACUUUAACACUGAGGCGUGACGACGAGGCACUACGGUGCUGAAGCAACAAAUGCCCUGCUUCCAGGAAAAGCCUCUAAGCAUCAGGUAACAUCAAAUCGUACCCCAAACCGACACAGGUGGUCAGGUAGAGAAUACCAAGGCGCUUGAGAGAACUCGGGUGAAGGAACUAGGCAAAAUGGUGCCGUAACUUCGGGAGAAGGCAC
rnacentral:rRNA from 1 species